rnacentral:rRNA from 1 species
GACAGAGGCCCCGAGCGUUAGGCGGAAUCACUGGGCUUAAAGCGUGUGUAGGCGGACCCCUAAGUGUCUUGUGAAAUCCCACGGCUCACCCGUGGAACUGCUGGGCAUACUGGGGGUCUUGGGCCGUUCAGGGGCGACUGGAACAAGCGGUGGAGCGGUGAAAUGCGCAGAUAUCAGGAGGAACACCGGUGGCGAAGGCGGCUUGCUGGGCCUUACCUGACGCUGAGGAGCGAAAGCGUGGGGAGCGAACAGG